rnacentral:lncRNA from 1 species
AAGAGCUUUAAAAAAAAAAAAAGAAAAGAAAAAAAAAGAAAAAAAGAGCUUCAUGAAGGUGGGAGUGGCCAAAUACCACCAAGUUAAAUAAGACAAAAAGUAGAUUUAAAAGACAGUCCCUGAAAAGAGAGCGAGAGAGAGAGAGAGAAAAUAACAAGAAGCAGCUCUUUAACUAUAGAGAACUAACUGAUGGUUACAAGAAGGGAGGUGGGGAGGGGUUGGGUGAAAUAGGUGAUGGGGCUUAAGGAGGGCACUAAUGAGCACAAGGUGAUUAAAAUAAAAACAGGGAAGGAAGGAAGUGCUCCCAAUGAGUUCUCUCUUUUAUUUUUUUAAAGAUUUUAUUUAUUUAAGAGACACCCAGAGAGAGAGAGGCAGAGACAUAAGCAGAGAGAGAAGCAGGCUUCCCACUGAGUAGGGAGCCUGAUGUGGGACUCAAUCCCAGGAUCCCAGGAUCAUGACCAGAGACAAAGGCAGACACCCAAUCACUGAGCCACCCAGGCACCUGAGGAGUUCCAGUGUUGCUGGGCGACAGGAAAGUCAUUGCCAUACAGCACAGGACACCAGGCAAGUGCAGGGAGCUCCUCUCUGGGAGGAGUCUGGAAAACAAGAACAGACACAGAAAGGUUCUGCAGGUGGCGGAGGUCCACAGGCACAAAGUUCCAGGAAAUGCCCAAGUCAGCACUGGCUGCCACGUGCUAGAAACACCCGAGGUCAGACGCGGAAGUUAGCACAGCAAGAACAUUGCCUGAGCCGUGGGUUCAAGAAGGGACCCAGAGAAGAGCCAUCAGCAGGUGGACCACGGGCCAUCUUCCUGGCUGCAGCCAGCCACGUCUCCUGCCCCGAGCGGAGGACGGGCACGCUGCACCCCUCCCAGGAGCGCCAGUGCCAGGGCUCCAGUCCACGACGCAGUCCUGGCAGGAAGAAUCGGCCGCCCCGGGCUGGCGUCCUUCCCAGGAGAAGCCAGAGCAGAUCCUCUGGAGCCGAAGGGGCACAUUUCAGGUGCACUUCUCACCUGUGAGCAAGGGCUCAUUAGCCAAACCAUCAUCUUCCCACACCCAUCGUCAGACCAACUUAAAAAUAACCUGAGCUGCCUCCCCACCCUCUCACACGGAGCGCAAGUCGCCUCCUGCUCCGACGGAACCCACCCCAGCCUGGCCCUCUGGACCCCGCACCACCCGCACCAUCCGCACGUUCCUCCUAGCGAGGGGGGCGAUACACUUCCAGGGCACCACGUCCGCUCCUUCUCCGACCUCACUAGCUUCACCUUCCUCAGUUUCCUUUGCAGAUUCCUUCUCUUUAACUUGACCUUUCAGAGCUGGAGCGCCCCAGUUCUCAGCCCUUAAUCUCGGCCUCCUCCCUGUCUACGUGCACUUCCUUUGUGACCUCAACAAGCCUCAUGUCUUUCACUAUCAUCCAAUCACUGAAAAAUACCACAUGUGGAUCGCUACCCCUGGGACACAGUCUCGUCUUGGAUAUCCUCCUUGGCAUCUCCACUUGGGUAUCUCGAGGCAUCUCCAGCUUAACAUGCUUGGAACUGAAUUAGUGUUUCCCCCCUACCCCCCCACACCCAGUCCUCCUGCAAUCUACUCCCGGAUCAGUUAAUGGCAACUGGAUCCUGAUCCUCCAACAGCUCAGACCAAAUAUCUCCAAGUCAUUGUGACUCCUCCCUUCCCCUCACAGUCCACUUCAAGUCUCAUCUACCAGCAAAUCCUUCAGUUCGACCUCCAACAGAUUACCCUGAAUCUCACCCUUUCUCACUGCUUCUACCCCCAAAACACCACGAACUGAGCCACCCCAUGUCUUGCUUGGAUUACUGAGAUAGCCUCCUACCUGGAAUCUGCUUCAACCCUGUUCCAAACAGCAGCCAGAAUGAGCCUCUAAAAAGUGUUAAACCGGGCAACCCGGGUGGCUCAGCGGUUUAGCGCCGCCUUCAGCCCAGGGCAUGAUCCUGGAGACCUGGGAUCGAGUCCCACAUCGGGCUCCCUGCGUGGAGCCUGCUUCUCCCUCUGCCUGUGUCUCAGCCUCUCUCUCUCUCUCUGUGUCUCUCAUGAAUAAAUAAAUAAAAUCUUAAAAGAAAAAAGUAUUA